GUGAUGAAACCAGUUCUGAGAUGGGGGUUAUUAAGAGAAUGUACUGCGGAAGCAGAAGUGGCGCCUGCACGUGUAAUCCAGAAGGAGAAAGUAAAUUCAAUAUUAAAGCUGAUUGGAGACCGCCGGAAACAGCUGGGGAGGGAUUCGGGAGGCCAGCUGCAGGAACAGGACGGCUCAGCGUACUGCGGGGAAAUGGUGCUAGGAGCAAUCAGGAUACCCGUGUGUGCUGAUCCAGUCUGGACUGCGGGAUCAGGAGCAGCAGGCAGGGGUCGUGGCCUUUGUGUCAGUGGGGAUCGCUGGCACCAGUCAAGAAGACGAUAACAGUAAUGAUCCUGAGUGAUGUUUUAAACAUCUGAAGAGGGAAAUUGCUGCAGCAUCUACAAGUAAUAUGUCUUCCAAAACAAACUUAU